UGGAUGUGGGCUUUGUGAGUGGGCUCCAGCCCCCCAGGACUUCCUGCCUAUGACGCUGGCUCCUGAUUCAAGGCAAGCAGCCUGAGUCACUGCUGGAACUUCUCCCGCCUCCUCCAGCCAGUCAUGGGACCUGCCUCCCCCUCCUAGGUGCUGGGACCGUGGGAGAGGACUCUGAGCACAGCAGCCCUGGGAUGAAGGAUGGGAACACACCCUUCCUGGCUUUUGCGGCAUUCAGGAGGAAGUCAAGAACACUAAGAAACAGACCGAUCCUGGCCUUAUGGAGCCAGUGGAGAAAAUCAGACUUACUCGUGGAAGCAUCAGCCACACAGAACUGCCAACCAUAUGAUGUGAUCUGGGCCCCAGCACUGAAGUGCCUGAGAAGAAGAGGCCUGGACUGACCCCAUCUGAUCAGUGAGCUGGUUCCAUCCCUCUGGGAGUGUGGGCAGAGGGCUGCAGGAGAAGAGGCAGGAGGUGAGGACUACUGUUUAAGAGAUGAGACAAGGCUGUGGACCAAGCGGGCAGCCCUGGAUGGACAGAAAAGACAUGAGGGUGGGGAAGGCAAAACUGAUAUUGAACUCAUCACCUGUCUCCAACCACAUUGCCUUACCUUCGACUACAUCACCUCUCUCUUGGAUCACCACAAUCUUGAAAGCCAGGAGAUAUGCUGAGCUUCAUUCAUUCUUUUGCCUAGCCAAGCCUGUCUCUGA